UAACGUCGUUUGGACCUGGAGUCCUU
rnacentral:piRNA from 1 species